GAAUAAAGUUAUUGACAAUAUCAACUUCAGGGAUUUCUUGGAGUUGGUACCUGAAGUAAGGGAGCUUAUUAAUGAUUUUGAUUCAAGCCAUUAUGCUUCCUGCUUGGAGUGUCUUGGAAACCUCAAAUCUAACCUGAUGCUUGACAUUCAUAUACAUGACCAUGUUGAGACUCUGUAUAAUCAAAUCCAGAGCAAAGCCCUCAUCAAGUAUACCCACCCAUUUGUGUAUGUUGAUAUGCGAAUGAUGGCUCUGGGAUACACUGUUCUGUAUAUACUCAAAAUUUAUCUCAUGAGUUCAUUUACAAGGUUAAAGAUGCAGUGGGAUACCUAGUGAAGUGGCCUAGACAUCUAGUCAUUCGAUGCUCUUAUUUGGUCUGCAAUCUCGCCAUUAGGACAUAAGGAAAAAUUCAAAAAUAGCGAUGAGGCAAGUCGAAGCGUUGCAGAUCGAUUGUCUCUAAGAAAAGACAAUGGCAUCGGCCUAGUGCCAUAUAAUCCAGGGUUUGUUUUUCAUUUGAUUAUAAAAAAAAUUUAGUAACUUAAUUUGGUUUUUGGUUUUUAUAAAAGACAUUGGGUGUUGGAGGGGAUAGAUAUGAAGCAACAAGUUAUUAUCAUGAUUCAUUGGGGCCCACCAAUGUCCAUCAGCAGUUGAAGUAGAUUAUUAAUGCGUAAGUAACAUAAAUUAUCGAAACAUUAUAGUAUAUUCUUUGAUAUAUUUCAUCAAUUUUUAUAGGGCAAUGAUAUUAUACACUGCUCAAAGUGGAUCUAACAAAAGGGUUAGCCUCAAUUGGAUCAAUGUUUUGGUGAGGACUUCGAUCAUUCGUUGUUUAAAUUGCAGCUUUCAUUUUGACUAAUCGUUUAUUGUAAACUGUUUGUAGUGUCUCCGUCAGUCGGGAGGUACCGAG